rnacentral:tRNA from 1 species
AAUGAGAUGCCUGAUUAAAGGAUUACUUUGAUAGAGUAAAUCAUGUGAUUUUCACUCUCAUUA